AGCGAACGCUGGCGGCAGGCCUAACACAUGCAAGUCGAACGGAUCCUUCGGGAUUAGUGGCGGACGGGUGAGUAACACGUGGGAACGUGCCCUUUGGUUCGGAACAACUCAGGGAAACUUGAGCUAAUACCGGAUGUGCCCUUCGGGGGAAAGAUUUAUCGCCAUUGGAGCGGCCCGCGUCUGAUUAGCUAGUUGGUGAGGUAACGGCCCACCAAGGCGACGAUCAGUAGCUGGUCUGAGAGGAUGAUCAGCCACACUGGGACUGAGACACGGCCCAGACUCCUACGGGAGGCAGCAGUGGGGAAUCUUGCGCAAUGGGCGAAAGCCUGACGCAGCCAUGCCGCGUGUAUGAUGAAGGUCUUAGGAUUGUAAAAUUCUUUCAGCGGGGACGAUAAUGACGGUACCCGCAGAAGAAGCUCCGGCUAACUUCGUG
rnacentral:rRNA from 1 species